rnacentral:rRNA from 1 species
UACGAAGGGGGCUAGCGUUGUUCGGAAUUACUGGGCGUAAAGCGCACGCAGGCGGCGGAUUAAGUCAGGGGUGAAAGGCCUGGGCUCAACCCAGGAAAUGCCCUUGAGACUGGUCCGCUGGAGUACGGAAGAGGGUAGUGGAAUUUCCAGUGUAGAGGUGAAAUUCGUAGAUAUUGGAAAGAACACCGGUGGCGAAGGCGGCUACCUGGUCCGUUACUGACGCUCAUGUGCGAAAGCGUGGGGAGCAAACAGG